rnacentral:rRNA from 1 species
AAAGGCGAACGUUGGGCUUCGGCCUGAUUUAGUAGUCUUUUUUUCUUUUAAACCCAUUCCUUAAUACUGAAUAUACUGUGGGGACGAAAGUCUCUGCUUUUAACUAGAUAGCAACUUUCAGCAGUGGAUGUCUAGGCUCGCACAUCGAUGAAGAACGCUGCGAACUGCGAUACGUAAUGCGAAUUGCAGGAUUCAGUGAGUCAUCGAAAUUUUGAACGCAUAUUGCACUUCCGGGUUAGUCCUGGAAGUAUGCCUGUAUCAGUGUCCGUACAUUAAACUUGACUUUCUUCCUUCCGUGUAGUCGGUGGAGGAGAUGUCAGAUGUGAAGUGUCUUGCGAUUGGUCUUCGGACCGGCUGCGAGUCCUUUUAAAUGUACUAAACUGAACUUCUCUUUGCUCGAAAAGUGGUGGCGUUGCUGGUUGUGAAGGCUGCUAUUGUGGCAAAUUGGCGACUGGUUUGUCUGCUGCGGCRUUAAUGGAAGAGUGUUCGAUUCGUGGUAUGGUUGGCUUCGGCUGAACAAUGCACUUAUUGGACGUUUUUCCUGCUGUGGCGUGAUGGACUGGUGAACCAUAGCUCGGUGGCUUGGCUUUUGAAUUGGCUUUGCUGUUGCGAAGUAGGGUGGCAGCUUCGGUUGUCGAGGGUCGAUCCAUUUGGGAACUUAAUGUGUACUUCGGUAUGCAUCUCAAUUGGAC